CUUCCCCAAAAUAAUCAGAGUUACAGUUUCUCUCGUUGCUUUCUUUCCUCUCACCGACAUCGCACUCCCUCUCGUUGAUCAACAGCAGAUCGGCGACAAACAUAGAUCCGGUGCUUCUCGUUGACGGUGGCCGUGUUAAAGCUCCGGAGAUGAACAACGAGCAGCCCAGCGACGGUGAUCUCUAGAGGUGACGAGACAGUGGGCCAGCGAGGCAGUGGGCGGUACGGCAGUGACCGAUGUGUCCUCCUCUGGCGAGUUCAGGCAGAUCGGCAGCUGUCCUUUGUUCUUCUUCGGUGAGGCUUCUUGAUGAGGUUCUCUAUUGAUGUGAUUAGCCUAAGAGUGAGCUUAGGAUUGGAUGCGUUUAGCUUUUGGAGCUUAGCUUGAGGAGAUGAAAUUAGUGGCUUGCUUUGAGAGCGCGGCGUAGAGUUUGUAUGCCUUGUAAUAGAAUUUGUAUCCGAGAAUUGCUUAUGGUAUAGUUGAAUGGAUUAGAACCUAGACUGUUUUAUAGUUAGUUGUAAUCGGAUUAUUCAACCUUGUAUUUGGAUUGUAGAUAGAAAUAUUGUAGCCUGUGCAUUUGGGUUUAGAAUAACCCAAGUGUGGCAUAACACCCUGUGUUGUUGGUUUAGCUUCCGCAUAUUUUGAGAAAUAUUUUCCUUUAAUUCUUUA